CGGUGAAACGGUGGGAAGCAAUCAAUCAUGAAGUCAAUUAGGUUUCACUGCUUCAUUAUAAUGAUCAUUGCUUCAUUAUUGAUAGUUGAAACCCAAGAUUCAUCAAUUGAAAUCGAUUGAAACGCCCGAUUGAAUAUUUCAUCCCUUCCAUUUGAUUCUUGCACCACACAUAAAUCUACCAUCACCGAUAUCUAUUUCCAGAAGACAUAUCAAGAAUCAAGUCAACAGGGUCAACAACGAAGCUCUCCUGCUUCGAAAUUAAAAAUGGAUUCACAUGCUGGUAAGUUCUUUUAGUGUUGAUUAUUUUGAUCUGAUCGGUGCACUUGAUCAAAUCAACUUUAUAAUCUUCAGGUAAUUAAUGUAUAAUUUUCUACUAUUUUUAUAUUGUAUUAAAUCUUUUGUGAUUUUAAUCAAUACCUACUUGAAUCUGCCUUUUAUUUCGCACCCAUUGUUGUUGAUUUAGUUAAAAAUGGUUUUGAAGGGGUUUCAAUUCAUGCAUUGAAGAAUGAACACAGUUCUUAAGCAGAGACCAUGUUAAAUCAAUGAUUUCUCUUUCGUUUGAUCGAGUUUCUAGGGGCAGUCAUAUAUAUCUGUUACGGAUUGGAUGAGUUGUGAGCUUGACUUCAAAGAAACUUCUAUAUUUGUUAUCGUUUGUGCUUAACUUUUGUUUGUGUCUAUGAAGUGUUCGAUGAAAUGCACCAAUGGGCUUUCUAUUAAAAAUAUAAAAUUAUUUGAGUAAUUUAUUUUUGAAACAGGUUUACUAAUAGUGGAUCUUCGUUUUGGUGAUGUCAUUGAUGACGCGGCUCGAUACUUUAAGUAUGCAUAUGACAGAGUUGGAUUUGCUGUUGGACUCUUGGAGUGAACUCUGUUCUCAAGUUAGCGCAGCCGCCUCUGGUAGCCACAGUUUGAGAAACAUGUCAUUUUGGAACGACUGAUGUGAAGUUUCUUUUUCCAAACUCUCAAUAAGCAAACUGAAGAAACACGGAUUCACCGCCGGGGUGAUUGUGACCGCUUUCUCUAAGAGGAUGGAGAAUCACACCUUGUUUUUCCUCUUGAACCUAGAUCUGCAAUGAAGAAGAUAGAAAAGUGGGGAUGUAGAGAUUGCCGGUAGGAGAAGAAUCCCUUAUUCCAGCUACAAAAAGUGUGACGGCUCCAUAUCUUGUGCCCUAAUAAUGAGCAUUGAUGAUGCAAAGAGGAUAAUUGAUCUUGUUACAGGCAUUCCUUGCAAAAUCAACCUCAGCACAUUCAACCCGCAUAGUGGGUCCCGCUUCCAACCCUCAACAGAUAAUGAUCGAGUUUAGAAAUACGCAGACUGAAAGUGGUUGCCCUGUGUUCAGGAGACUGAGUAGGAUUGAUGGUCAAAUGGCUGCCUAUUGUCAACUCGGUAACCCAGGUGAUUAACAAGCACCUUUCCUCAAAGUCCUACCAAGUCUUUUGAAACUUUUGCGAUAUCCCUUGGUGUAAACGUAUUAACUUGUACAUCAUGUUUUAAGUGUGGUGUGUUUGUUUGAAUGACAAAUCUAUUGUUUUUUGUAA